rnacentral:rRNA from 1 species
CCUACGGGAGGCAGCAGUGAGGAAUAUUGGUCAAUGGGCGGAAGCCUGAACCAGCCAAGUAGCGUGCAGGAUGACGGCCCUACGGGUUGUAAACUGCGUUUAUACGGGAAUAACGCGCCUUACGUGUAGGGCUUUGCAUGUACAGUAUGAAUAAGGACCGGCUAAUUCCGUGCCAGCAGCAGCGGUAAGACGGAAGGUCCGGGCGUUCUCCGGAUUUAUUGGGUUUAAAGGGAGCGUAGGCGGCCUGUCAAGCGUGCUGUGAAAUGUCCGGGCUCAACCCGGGCCUUGCAGCGCGAACUGGCGGGCUUGAGUCCGCGGAAAGCAGGCGGAAUUCGUGGUGUAGCGGUGAAAUGCUUAGAUAUGACGAAGAACCCCGAUUGCGAGGGCAGCUUGCUGCAGCGGAACUGACGCUGAUGCUCGAAAGCGCGGGUAUCGAACAGGAUUAGAUACCCCAGUAGUC